rnacentral:tRNA from 3 species
UGGGACGUGGCCAAGCGGUAAGGCAACGGGUUUUGGUCCCGCUAUUCGGAGGUUCGAAUCCUUCCGUCCCAG